rnacentral:rRNA from 1 species
UACGAAGGGUGCAAACGUUGCUCGGAAUUAUUGGGCGUAAAGCGCACGUAGGCGGCUUAGCAAGUCGGAAGUGAAAUCCCUCGGCUCAACCAAGGAAGUGCUUUCGAAACUGCUGAGCUUGAGUACUUAAGAGGAUCGCGGAAUUCCCGGUGUAGAGGUGAAAUUCGUAGAUAUCGGGAGGAACACCGGUGGCGAAGGCGGUUCUCUGGGCCUUACCUGACGCUGAGGAGCGAAGGCGUGGGGAGCGAACAGG